UACGUAGGGGGCAAGCGUUGUCCGGAAUCAUUGGGCGUAAAGAGCGUGUAGGCGGCCCGGUAAGACCGCUGUGAAAGUCCAGGGCUCAACCCUGGAAUGCCGGUGGAAACUGUCGGGCUAGAGUCCGGAAGAGGCGAGUGGAAUUCCUGGUGUAGCGGUGAAAUGCGCAGAUAUCAGGAGGAACACCAAUGGCGAAGGCAGCUCGCUGGGACGGUACUGACGCUGAGACGCGAAAGCGUGGGGAGCAAACAGG
rnacentral:rRNA from 1 species